rnacentral:misc_RNA from 1 species
AAGGAGCACCACGAGAAACACUCCAAUUGGUGGGGUGUGAGCCGUGAGGGGUUCUCGUCUGUAGUGGACGGGGGCUGGGUGCACAACAGCAGACAAUCGCCAGACACACUAUUGGGCCCUGAGACAACACUCGGCCGACUUAGGUCGAUGUGGUGUCCCUCCAUCUUGGUGGUGGGGUGUGGUAUUUGAGUAUUGAAUAGUGGUUGCGAGCAUC